GUGUUCUCUUUCUUAUAUAAGCAUAGUAUAGUGAUUACAUUCAGCUAAUUUAAUGUGAAUUAUACUACUAUUAUCUAAUAUACAGUUUACUUUAAAGGCUUGCCAGUUGUCCCAAUAAUAUCUUUUAGUAAAUCCCUCUACCCUGCACUUCCAUCUAGGAUCCAGUCAGGAACAUGCAGUUACUCUUGUUACAUCUUAAUCUUUGAUCUGGCAUAAUUGCUUAGCUUUGUAUUUCGUAACAGUGACAUUAAAAAGAAGAUAUAUAUAUAUUUUUUUUUUUUGCAAAUGUUAAAAUUAGAGUUAUAAGUCAUUGUCUGAAUUUCUUCUUCAUGAUUCUUCUCUUUUUGGUCUUGAUGCCAUAUUUUAAUGUCAUUGCUUUUAGCUUUCUCUACAUUAGGCAUUUAUGGUCUUUCACUUCUUCAGCUCAGUUACUAGAAAGAAACAGUUAAGCUAAUUCAGGUUUUGUUUUAAAGUAGAGUUGAGGUUGUCAAGGGGAUUAGAAAGGACAACAAAAGCUCCAAGAUGCUUUAGUAUAUUUAUAUGAAGUGGAAUUAGUGAGUCAAAGUGGGAACCUCUUUGUGACAUUUCUUGACUCGCUUCAUUGUAAAGUAAGUAAUGAAUAAAAAUUCAGACUUUAGAAUUUAAUAUAAAAAGAAAAAUGGACUGAACUGGAAUAAGUUUUGACUCUGGAGUUUGACAAAUCUGUUUUGAACCGUGGAGAUACUCAUUAUUGGUGGUAUACUCUUUUUUUCUUUUUCUUUUUUUUGAGAUGGUGUUUUCCUUUGUUUCCAGGUUGGUCUCAAAUUCCUAGCUCAAUUGAUCCUUCUGCCUUAGCCUCCCAGAGUAGCUGGUACUAUUAAGUGUGUGCCACCACACCCAGUUAGGGGUGUGUACUUGACCAAGAUCUUUAACCUUAAAGGAAAAU
rnacentral:lncRNA from 1 species